GACGAACGCUGGCGGCGUGCCUAAUACAUGCAAGUAGAACGCUGAAACUUGGUGCUUGCACCGAGCGGAUGAGUUGCGAACGGGUGAGUAACGCGUAGGUAACCUGCCUGGUAGCGGGGGAUAACUAUUGGAAACGAUAGCUAAUACCGCAUAAGAGUAGAUGUUGCAUGACAUUUGCUUAAAAGGUGCAAUUGCACCACUACCAGAUGGACCUGCGUUGUAUUAGCUAGUUGGUGGGGUAACGGCUCACCAAGGCGACGAUACAUAGCCGACCUGAGAGGGUGAUCGGCCACACUGGGACUGAGACACGGCCCAGACUCCUACGGGAGGCAGCAGUAGGGAAUCUUCGGCAAUGGACGGAAGUCUGACCGAGCAACGCCGCGUGAGUGAAGAAGGUGUUCGGAUCGUAAAGCUCUGUUGUAAGAGAAGAACGAGUGUGAGAGUGGAAAGUUCACACUGUGACGGUAUCUUACCAGAAAGGGACGGCUAACUACGU
rnacentral:rRNA from 1 species